GGCAGGCCUAACACAUGCAAGUCGAGGGCCAUCGGGAUUGAAGCUUGCUUCAAUUGCCGGCGACCGGCGCACGGGUGCGUAACGCGUAUGUAACCUACCUAUAACAGGGGCAUAACACUGAGAAAUUGGUACUAAUUCCCCAUAAUAUUCGGAGAGGCAUCUCUCCGGGUUGAAAACUCCGGUGGUUAUAGAUGGACAUGCGUUGUAUUAGCUAGUUGGUGAGGUAACGGCUCACCAAGGCAACGAUACAUAGGGGGACUGAGAGGUUAACCCCCCACACUGGUACUGAGACACGGACCAGACUCCUACGGGAGGCAGCAGUGAGGAAUAUUGGUCAAUGGACGCAAGUCUGAACCAGCCAUGCCGCGUGCAGGAAGACGGCUCUAUGAGUUGUAAACUGCUUUUGUACGAGGGUAAACUCACCUACGUGUAGGUGACUGAAAGUAUCGUACGAAUAAGGAUCGGCUAACUCCGUGCCAGCAGCCGCGGUAAUACGGAGGAUUCAAGCGUUAUCCGGAUUUAUUGGGUUUAAAGGGUGCGUAGGCGGUUUGAUAAGUUAGAGGUGAAAUCCCGGGGCUUAACUCCGGAACUGCCUCUAAUACUGUUAGACUAGAGAGUAGUUGCGGUAGGCGGAAUGUAUGGUGUAGCGGUGAAAUGCUUAGAGAUCAUACAGAACACCGAUUGCGAAGGCAGCUUACCAA
rnacentral:rRNA from 1 species